rnacentral:rRNA from 1 species
UGGAGAGUUUGAUCCUGGCUCAGGACGAACGCUGGCGGCGAUGCUUAACACAUGCAAGUCGAACGGAAAGGUCUCUUCGGAGAUACUCGAGUGGCGAACGGGUGAGUAACACGUGGGCAAUCUGCCCUGCACUUCGGGAUAAGCCUGGGAAACUGGGUCUAAUACCGGAUAGGACCACUUGGCGCAUGCCUUGUGGUGGAAAGCUUUUGCGGUGUGGGAUGGGCCCGCGGCCUAUCAGCUAGUUGGUGGGGUGAUGGCCUACCAAGGCGACGACGGGUAGCCGGCCUGAGAGGGUGUCCGGCCACACUGGGACUGAGAUACGGCCCAGACUCCUACGGGAGGCAGCAGUGGGGAAUAUUGCACAAUGGGCGCAAGCCUGAUGCAGCGACGCCGCGUGGGGGAUGACGGCCUUCGGGUUGUAAACCUCUUUCAGCAGGGACGAAGCGACAAGUGACGGUACCUGCAGAAGAAGCACCGGCCAACUACGUGCCAGCAGCCGCGGUA